rnacentral:rRNA from 1 species
AUUGAACGCUGGCGGCAGGCCUAACACAUGCAAGUCGAGCGAGCGGCGGACGGGUGAGUAGUGUAAGGGGACUGCCCGAUAGAGGGGGAUAACUACUGGAGACGGUAGCUAAUACCGCAUACUAUCGGAUAACCCAGAUGGGAUUAGCUAGUUGGUGAGGUAAUGGCUCACCUAGGGGACGAUCCCUAGCUGGUCUGAGAGGAUGAUCAGUCACACUGGGACUGAGACACGGACCAGACUCCUACGGAGGCAGCAGUGGGGAAUAUUGCACAAUGGGCGAAAGCCUGACCGAGCCAUGCCGCGUGUAUGAAGAAGGCCCUCGGGUUGUAAAGUACUUUCAGUCGGGAGGCGUUAUCGACAGAAGAAGCAACGGCUAACUACGUGCCAGCAGCCGCGGUAAUUC